UUGAUGUUGAUCAACACAAGAGAGUCUAUCCCUACAUGAGCUUCUACUUCCCAGCAAUGGAAGCAGCUUCUACCGGCCAGGCGCAAUAAGUCAAGUGCAUCUCAAGAUCUAGAUGGUGGAGCAAGGGCUUUUCGGUCACUGCGGAGCAUCCUAAUUGGUGUCAAGUUCUAUAAGGGCUUUAUGUAAGAUGGUUACCCCAGCAUGACUCUCCUUGUUCUGUAGCUCGACAUGCUGGUUUGGAAUGAAAAGCUGAGGAUUAAUGCUUUUCUUUUGACUAAAAUUAUCUAUGCCCAAGAAAAUGGGUGCAUGAAAUUAACACUUCAACUAUCAUAUGCACUUAUUUUGUUUUUGCUUCACUGUUGUGACUUAAACACGACUGAAUAUAUAUUAUGUCAAAUUUAUUGUUAUUACUAUCAUGCUCCUUGAUGGCAAAUUUGGAGUGUACACCAAACCACAAUGAUUACAAUCUUGUAAACGCGCGCACCAGAUACCUGAUUUUUGUGUCAAUGUUGAACUACAUCAUGUUCCUAAAUACGCAAUGUACUUUUUUAGUUUUUUCUAGUGGUAGGUUGCCAGUGAGGGUACCGUGAUCUAUCCAUCAGGUCGACUCAGCCUGCUGGUAUCUUGUAGAGCCUUGAGGUGUUUUAUUUUGAGUUUGUCUGGUCCUGUGGUCCAUUAAAUUAACUAUAAAUGAAGUCAUCAUUGAUCAA